rnacentral:misc_RNA from 1 species
AGGCAUACUCAUUUUUCAUGAUCCUCUUGUCCGAGAUCUGAUGAGUAUGAAGAUAUUUGUAGAUACAGAUGCUGAUGUACGCCUUGCAAGGAGAAUAAGACGAGACACUGUUGAAAAGAAUAGAGAUAUUGCUACAGUAUUAGAUCAGUAUUCCAAGUUUGUCAAACCGGCUUUUGAUGACUUCAUUCUUCCAACAAAGAAGUAUGCUGACAUUAUCAUUCCCCGGGGUGGAGACAACCAUGUCGCGAUCGAUUUGAUUGUGCAACAUAUUAGGACGAAACUUGGUCAACAUGAUCUUUGU